rnacentral:rRNA from 1 species
GACGAACGCUGGCGGCGUGCCUAAUACAUGCAAGUCGAGCGGACUUUCAAGAAGCUUGCUUUUUGAAAGUUAGCGGCGGACGGGUGAGUAACACGUGGGCAACCUGCCUGCAAGACGGGGAUAACUCCGGGAAACCGGGGCUAGUACCGGAUAAUAUCUUCCUUCGCAUGAAGGAAGGUUGAAAGGCGGCGCAAGCUGCCGCUUGCAGAUGGGCCCGCGGCGCAUUAGCUAGUUGGUGAGGUAACGGCUCACCAAGGCGACGAUGCGUAGCCGACCUGAGAGGGUGAUCGGCCACACUGGGACUGAGACACGGCCCAGACUCCUACGGGAGGCAGCAGUAGGGAAUCUUCCGCAAUGGACGAAAGUCUGACGGAGCAACGCCGCGUGAGCGAAGAAGGGCUUCGGAUCGUAAAGCUCUGUUGUCAGGGAAGAACAAGUACCGUUCGAACAGGGCGGUACCUUGACGGUACCUGACCAGAAAGCCACGGCUAACUACGUG